rnacentral:rRNA from 1 species
GAACGGGGAUACGGGAGCUUGCUUCUGUAUUAUAGUGGCGGACGGGUGAGUAACGCGUGAGCAACCUGCCUUACGGAGAGGGACAACAGCUGGAAACGGCUGCUAAUACCUCAUGAAGUACAUUUAUGGCAUCAUAGAUGUACCAAAGAUUUAUCGCCGUAAGAUGGGCUCGCGUCUGAUUAGCUAGUUGGUGAGGUAACGGCUCACCAAGGCGACGAUCAGUAGCCGGACUGAGAGGUUGACCGGCCACAUUGGGACUGAGAUACGGCCCAGACUCCUACGGGAGGCAGCAGUGGGGAAUAUUGGGCAAUGGGGGCAACCCUGACCCAGCAACGCCGCGUGAAGGAAGAAGGCUUUACGGGUUGUAAACUUCUUUGACCAGGGACGAUAAUGACGGUACCUGGAAAACAAGCCACGGCUAACUACGUGCCAGCAGCCGCGGUAAU